GAAGUUCAGAGAAUAGUUGAUCACUGUAGAAGGUCGGCUGAUAGUGAGGCCUAGAGAGCCUUUGGAGCGGCCCGAUAGAUGGAUGGAGAAGCUCAUUGUCAAAAAAGUCUGGAAGCUCGGAUGAUCGAGGGGGUUCAGAGAGAUGCUACAUAAGGUCGGAAGUCGGAAAAGCCCUGGAAGGGUCGGUCUUUUACAAACUUCGGUCGGGGGGUAUUUUAUACCCAACACUCUACAUGAUCAAUUAAUUUUUUGAUUUUAACCUUAGGUCUAACCCAAUUAAAAAGAUCUGAUUUGAGCUAACCCAUGCC
rnacentral:lncRNA from 1 species